rnacentral:rRNA from 1 species
GGACGAACGCUGACGGUGUGCUUUAGACAUGCAAGUCGAACGAGAAAGCCCUUCGGGUUAGUAAGUAGGCGAACGGGUGAGUAACACGUGGGCAAUCUGCCCCUCGCAGGGGGACGAACCGGAGGAAACUCCGGCUAAUACCCCGUAAGUUCAAAGGGAGGCAUCUCUCUUCGAAGAAAGGUAGCUUCGGCCAUCCGGCGAGGAUGAGCCCGCGGUGCAUUAGCUAGUUGGUGGGGUAACGGCCUACCAAGGCGACGAUGCAUAGCUGGUCUGAGAGGAUGAUCAGCCACACUGGGACUGAGACACGGCCCAGACUCCUACGGGAGGCAGCAGUCGGGAAUCUUGCGCAAU